UGACCUCAAAUCAGGUAGGACUACCCGCUGAACUUAAGCAUAUCAAUAAGCGGAGGAAAAGAAACUAACAAGGAUUCCCCUAGUAACUGCGAGUGAAGCGGGAAAAGCUCAAAUUUAAAAUCUGGCGGUCUUCAGGCCGUCCGAGUUGUAAUCUGGAGAAGCGUUUUCCGCGCCGGACCGUGUACAAGUCUNCUUGGAACAGAGCGUCAUAGAGGGUGAGAAUCCCGUCUNUGACACGGACUACCGGGGCUAUGUGAUGCGCUCUCAAAGAGUACGCAGUCGUUCUGGGAAUGCAGCUCAAAAUGGGUGGUAAAUUCCAUCUAAAGCUAAAUAUUGGCGAGAGACCGAUAGCGAACAAGUACCGUGAGGGAAAGAUGAAAAGCACUUUGGAAAGAGAGUUAACACAGUACGUGAAAUAGUUGAAAGGGAAACGCUUGAAGUCAGUCGCGUCUACCGAGGAUCAACCUUGCUCUUUUGCUUGGUGCACUUCUCGGCAUGACGGGUCAGCAUCAAUUUUGACUGUAGGAUAAAGGCUAGGGGAAUGUGGCAUCUUCGGGUGUGUUAUAGCCCUUGGUCGCAUGCCACAGUUGGGAUUGAGGAACUCAGCACGCCUUUUUGGCCGGGGUUCGCCCACGUACGUGCUUAGGAUGCUGGCAUNAUGGCUUUAAACGACCCGUCUUGAUACANGGACCAAGGAGUCUAACAUGCCCGCGAGUGUUUGGGUGGAAAACCCGGACGCGCAAUGAAAGUGAUAGUUGAGACCUCUGUCGUGGAGGGCAUCGACGCCCGGACCAGACCUUUUGUGACGGUUCCGCGGUAGAGCGUGUAUGUUGGGACCCGAAAGAUGGUGAACUAUGCCUGAAUAGGGUGAAGCCAGAGGAAACUCUGGUGGAGGCUCGUAGCGAUUCUGACGUGCAAAUCGAUCGUCAAAUUUGGGUAUAGGGGCGAAAGACUAAUCGAACCAUCUAGUAGCUGGUUCCUGUCCGAANUUUCCCUCANGAUAGACAGAAACUCAUGUAGUCAGAAUUUUANUGGUGGUAAAGCGAAUGAUUAGAAGGCCUUGNGGGUUGAAACANNCCCUUAAACCUAUUNCUCAAACUUUAAAGUAUGUAAGAACGAGCCGUCACUUGAUUGGAUCGCUCGGCGAUUGUAGAGUUUCUAGUGGGCCAUUUUUGGUAAGCAGAACUGGCGAUGCAGGAUGAACCGAACGCGAGGUAAGNGUGCCNGANU
rnacentral:rRNA from 1 species